rnacentral:rRNA from 1 species
AGAGUUUGAUCCUGGCUCAGGACGAACGCUGGCGGCGUGCCUAAUACAUGCAAGUCGAGCGGACAGGUGGGAGCUUGCUCCCUGAUGUUAGCGGCGGACGGGUGAGUAACACGUGGGUAACCUGCCUGUAAGACUGGGAUAACUCCGGGAAACCGGGGCUAAUACCGGAUGGUUGUUUGAACCGCAUGGUUCAAACAUAAAAGGUGGCUUCGGCUACCACUUACAGAUGGACCCGCGGCGCAUUAGCUAGUUGGUGAGGUAACGGCUCACCAAGGCAACGAUGCGUAGCCGACCUGAGAGGGUGAUCGGCCACACUGGGACUGAGACACGGCCCAGACUCCUACGGGAGGCAGCAGUAGGGAAUCUUCCGCAAUGGACGAAAGUCUGACGGAGCAACGCCGCGUGAGUGAUGAAGGUUUUCGGAUCGUAAAGCUCUGUUGUUAGGGAAGAACAAGUACCGUUCGAACAGGGCGGUACCUUGACGGUACCUAACCAGAAAGCCACGGCUAACUACGUGCCAGCAGCCGCGGUAAUACGUAGGUGGCAAGCGUUUUCCGGAAUUAUUGGGCGUAAAGGGCUCGCAGGCGGUUUCUUAAGUCUGAUGUGAAAGCCCCCGGCUCAACCGGGGAGGGUCAUUGGAAACUGGGGAACUUGAGUGCAGAAGAGGAGAGUGGAAUUCCACGUGUAGCGGUGAAAUGCGUAGAGAUGUGGAGGAACACCAGUGGCGAAGGCGACUCUCUGGUCUGUAACUGACGCUGAGGAGCGAAAGCGUGGGGAGCGAACAGGAUUAGAUACCCUGGUAGUCCACGCCGUAAACGAUGAGUGCUAAGUGUUAGGGGGUUUCCGCCCCUUAGUGCUGCAGCUAACGCAUUAAGCACUCCGCCUGGGGAGUACGGUCGCAAGACUGAAACUCAAAGGAAUUGACGGGGGCCCGCACAAGCGGUGGAGCAUGUGGUUUAAUUCGAAACAACGCGAAGAACCUUACCAGGUCUUGACAUCCUCUGACAAUCCUAGAGAUAGGACGUCCCCUUCGGGGGCAGAGUGACAGGUGGUGCAUGGUUGUCGUCAGCUCGUGUCGUGAGAUGUUGGGUUAAGUCCCGCAACGAGCGCAACCCUUGAUCUUAGUUGCCAGCAUUCAGUUGGGCACUCUAAGGUGACUGCCGGUGACAAACCGGAGGAAGGUGGGGAUGACGUCAAAUCAUCAUGCCCCUUAUGACCUGGGCUACACAC